ACCCUUUAAUGUUUGAUGUUCUAACGUGGACCCGUGAUCCGGGUUGCGGACAGUGUCUGGUGGGUAGUUUGACUGGGGCGGUCUCCUCCUAAAGAGUAACGGAGGAGCACGAAGGUUGGCUAAUCCUGGUCGGACAUCAGGAGGUUAGUGCAAUGGCAUAAGCCAGCUUGACUGCGAGCGUGACGGCGCGAGCAGGUGCGAAAGCAGGUCAUAGUGAUCCGGUGGUUCUGAAUGGAAGGGCCAUCGCUCAACGGAUAAAAGGUACUCCGGGGAUAACAGGCUGAUACCGCCCAAGAGUUCAUAUCGACGGCGGUGUUUGGCACCUCGAUGUCGGCUCAUCACAUCCUGGGGCUGAAGUAGGUCCCAAGGGUAUGGCUGUUCGCCAUUUAAAGUGGUACGCGAGCUGGGUUUAGAACGUCGUGAGACAGUUCGGUCCCUAUCUGCCGUGGGCGCUGGAGAACUGAGGGGGGCUGCUCCUAGUACGAGAGGACCGGAGUGGACGCAUCACUGGUGUUCGGGUUGUCAUGCCAAUGGCACUGCCCGGUAGCUAAAUGCGGAAGAGAUAAGUGCUGAAAGCAUCUAAGCACGAAACUUGCCCCGAGAUGAGUUCUCCCUGAGACUUAAAGUCUCCUGAAGGAACGUUGAAGACGACGACGUUGAUAGGCCGGGUGUGUAAGCGCAGCGAUGCGUUGAGCUAACCGGUACUAAUGAACCGUGAGGCUUA
rnacentral:rRNA from 1 species